GUCUAAGGUCAUAUCUCCCUGAACGCACCCAAUCUUGUCUGGUCUCGAAAGCUAAGCAGGGUCAGGCCUGGUUAGUAUUUGGAUGGAAGACAGAUCUUCAGAAGAGUCUGCUCAGAGACAAGCAGUUUAGAGA
rnacentral:rRNA from 1 species